rnacentral:lncRNA from 1 species
CCGCAUUGCCGUCUGUGGAGAGCACACAGAGCUGAAGCCGUGGACGGACCCUCAGUGGUGUAAGAAGAUGUACAGUAUACCUUAAAUCUAUGAAAUUCAUAGUUCAGAUGCUUCUGACCACAGAGCAUCAUUUUAUCACCUUUGGAAAAUGUUUAUUCCAAAAUAGCUUUAAUGGCCCGUAUGUGCACUCCCUCCUUAGUGUCAAGGUCACCGUCCUCCACAGGCUGCUUCAGUUCAGAGCCUCAGUCAGCUGCUUUCUCCCCCGCGCCGCUCCAUGCAGAGCUUGCUUGGUUGCAGUCCCCACAUUUGGAUGCUUAAGUCUCAGUGAACUUGGCUUUCUUUUGCUUCUCAGUGAGCCUACCCUUUCCUGUGAGGCUUAUUUGCUUUGUUUUUUUUUUCUUCCCUUUUUGGCUUCUGCAGUGCUUCGUUUGACACUUGAUUUGUAAAAAUUUUAUAUAAAUAUAUUUAAAAUGUGCCAUUUUAUCACUGCUAAGUGAAGUCUGUCCUGUUCUCGGCUCGGGCCUCCUCAGUGAGACUGCACCGUCAGCAGUUCUGCCGCGCUCCGUCUGCUCCACAAGUGCUGCUGCUCAGCUUUUCCGUGGAGAGCCAAACAAUUCCAAGUGUGGGUAUUUUGAAGUACUGGACAUUACGUCACGGGGCUAGACGUGUCCAGCAAUAAGCGGGCUUCUAGAGCCCGUGCUUGGUCUGUGUACAGA